UACGUAGGGACCGAGCGUUGUCCGGAUUCAUUGGGCGUAAAGAGCUCGUAGGCGGCUGUUCAAGUCGAACGUGAAAACUCGGGGCUCAACUCCGAGCCUGCGUUCGAUACUGGACGGCUAGAGUCUGGUAGGGGGAUCUGGAAUUCCUGGUGUAGCGGUGGAAUGCGCAGAUAUCAGGAGGAACACCGGUGGCGAAGGCGGUUCUCUGGGACGGUACUGACGCUGAGACGCGAAAGCGUGGGGAGCGAACAGG
rnacentral:rRNA from 1 species